rnacentral:misc_RNA from 1 species
ACGAACCAGUGGCUCUGGAAAUAGAGCAGGAAAGUCCACGGAUGGAGAAUCAACUAAAUUUAAAGGUGAUAUUGGGACCGCUAAGUUCGAAGGUGUGGAAGCUGGUAACAGCGAAGGAAAUGGCGGAAGAGAAGAUGCACUAAUGGAUGGGAUGGGAAGUUGAGAAGGUUCUUCCCUUCGCUGCAGAAUUGAGGAUGCACCCGGACACCAGCAAUAGUAAGGAGUAAAGAGAGGUGAAACCACACAGGGAAGAGAUGAACUUGCAGGAAUUGGGGCAGCAGCUAAUUUUCCCAAUGAUUCCAAAAAGCUUGAUGGAGAUAAUGGGCAAUUUGAAUCAGCAGCUUGUGUUUCAGAGUUAACACAAAAUGCAUCAGUGGAAGUCGAUGAUGCUACAAUAUGGUUGUCUAAAGCCAAGUUCUCUCCACGCCUCCUGAAUUUUUCCCUAGCAGCAUCUCUCAAAGAAAGCAAUGUCUUAGGCAGGCCUUCUUUAAAGGAAUUCAACCUGGGGCUAAGACUACCCUGGUGUGCAGAAUUUGCUUUGAUUGCUG